rnacentral:lncRNA from 1 species
CAAGUAGUAUCCCCAAACAUGAUGUGCCACCAUCUAAACUUGCCUCUUGGACUCUCUAAGAGAUUAUCUGGAUCCUGACUGCCUCUCGCUGAAGCCAAAACUGUAACUCCACUUGGCUGGCCGUGCUGCUUCCUGGCCAUGCCAAGCCUCCCUACCUUCUGCUGGAGAGGCUUUUCUCUAAGUCUCUGAGGUCAGAUUCUCCUAGUUGCCCCUAUUCCUCAAGGCUCACCUGCACAGGUGGCAUAAUCAGAGACUUGGACAGAGCCAACAGGCAGCAGUUUCGGCAAAGCAGCUUGAGCCUUCUGAGCUCCCGUGUGGAGUUUCCCUUCAGAGUCUGGCUUGGAGCCCUGGAAGGAAGCCCUGGUUCACCUUAAGGCAGCUACAGCAGUAGCAGCAACAGUGGAGACUGGAGCUAGGACCUGACCAGCAGCCAGUCUUCUCCAUCCACUCCGUCACCCCUGCUGCCCUCUGAAGCUUUCUUUUUGGGGAGGCUACCCUGAGAAAAAGGAAGGAGGUAGGCAGAGCCAGAGCAGAGCGAUGGCAAGGAGGACUUCAACGACACGGAGCUUGAUGCUGGAAGCCCCGGGUUGAUGCCAGAAGGUACCGGAAAGUGUAUGGCAUGGGACUCGUGGUGCUCAGCUUGUGGCUGGAAGAAAGCCUGCUAGCAGUUCCUGGACUGAGCCAAUCUGUGAUGCUACUGCCUGGCCUCUUUCUCACUCCUAGCCUGAACCUGCAGCAAACCUGUGGUG